CAAACCUUCCUCCUAGGCCGCUGCAGAGCUGUAGAAACCCAGUUGCACAGGGCUUUAUGCCUGGCAAGGGCACCCCUUGCUGUGUGCAUCCCAGAGGAGGCACGUCUGAAGUCUGCAGAGGAAGCUUCUAUCUUCCCUUCCAACGAAUUCCUGCUCAGGCCAGCAAGGAAGAGAGUUUGAGUUGUUUAUGGGACUCGUUUAUGGAACGCACACGCUGUGCCAGGCAUUGUGCACAGAGAGACCCAGUUCCUGCCCUCUUGGAGUUUAUAUGACAUGAGCUGAAGACAGACAAGAAGCAAGUGUAAGAGCUACCAGAGGGAGGAAAGUGGAAGCUACCAGACGGAGGAAGCAUAAACCAGGUCCUGAUCCCUGAUUAAUUGAGAAUCAGCCAGCUUGGGAAGGGGAUGGCUGCGCAAGCCCACAGAACGCAGACUCCCAGAGGAGGCAGGGAGUAACCCUCUGGCCCAAGAUGGCUGCUGGAGCCUCAGCUACUACAUGUGGAUUCCAGGCCAGAAGUAGAGGGAGGGGAAAACAAAGGAGUAUACCUUCCGGGGAUAUCAGCUUUUUUGUAUCAUCUUCCUGAGGUCCUGUGCAUUUCCAUAGUCACAUAUAUGCCCCUAACCGUCUUCUCAGGCCUUAAAUGUUUGGGCGUGUUGUGAAUCUCCAAGACUGAGCCACAAGAUGCAGCAUUUUCCUAAUGACCUCAGGCCCUUUUUGAAUGGGCACUUUUGGGAAUCAGCGUUCUGCAAAGCAUACCUUGGGAAGCCACAGAGAGCUUUUCCCUGAAGCAGGGUUUCUCAACCUGUACGUUGUUGGCAUUUGGGGCAGGAUAAUUCUUAGUUGUGGGCGGCUGUCCUGUGCAUUGGAGGGUAUUUACCAGCAUCCCUGGCCUCUGCUCACCAGAUGCCAAUAGCAAUUCCUCCCCCACCCUGUUGUGACAACCAAAAGUGUCCCCAGGUAUUGCCAAAUGUUCCCUGCUGGCAAAAUGGCCCUCAGAUGAGAACCUUUACUCUAGGGAAAUUUCUAGAAUCAAGAAAAUACAUUGCAAUGAUAGGAGAGACCACUCUCUCAGGUAUGAAUAUUCAGCUGACUGUUAGAGUCCUUGGCAAUAAGAUUGUUAUUUUUUAAAAGAGACAGUAUUACUGGUGAAGAUUCAUUUCAAAAAUGGAAAUGAAAAUAAAAGUUGC
rnacentral:lncRNA from 1 species